AGGGGCGGGGCUUCCCUGAGGCGCGCCGAGAGGCGGUGGCCCACUUCCGGCAAUAAUCGCCUGGUCGCCGUCAGGUGCCGGCCCAGGUGGCAGGCGCGCCCGUUGGGCACUGGGGGACGCGGGCGCGUCAGGUGAAGACUGGGGGCUGCAGGCGCGCUAGGAGAACUAUGCCAUUUUUGGGUCAGGACUGGAGAUCUCCUGGAUGGAGUUGGAUUAAGACAGAAGAUGGCUGGAAGAAUUGUGAAUCUUGUAGUCAGAAACUUGAAAGAGAGAAUAACCAUUGUAACAUCAGUCACAGCAUAGGCAUGGCUAUUGCACCUUGGGAGAAACCUUUAAUCGGUUAGACUUCUCAAGUGCAAUUCAAGAUACCCGAAGGUUCAAUUAUGUGGUCAAAUAACAAUUUGGACAAGACAGCAAAUGCUAUUGUCGAAGUUUUCUAAAGAAGAAUCUGAAGUGAAAUGACAUCAAGAGACCUAUCAAGACCUGUAUCCAGGAAAAGCAGAAGAAUCCCAGACUUCUUAGAGAACCCAGUGACUUUUUGCACCUUAAAUCUGUGAAAUCCUCAUGCUUUCUUCUGCCGUAUCCAUCGUUCAAACAAACAUGAGGCAAAGCUAGACACAUUCCUGAAGGAACCCAAGAAAUUCCUCUCUUUCUCUCUCUGGAAUGAAAUGAAUUCUCUAGACCACCAGUUCUAACCUUCAAAAACCAAACCUGUUUGUGAGAUCUCCUUCAAAUACUACUGUAGACCCCAGUGUUUAUUCAUUAAAUUUUUUAAAUAUUUGUUUUAUUUGGAAUCAAAGUAUUUGUAAUUUUAGUAUUUGUAUUAAUAUAAGGGAGAAAUGUUUAAAUCUGUCUAUGCCAUAUGUGCCUUCGGCUUAUUGCCCAAUUAAUUGUAGCCUCAGGCUAAACUUUGGUUUCUGUCUUUAAUUUUUGUCGGAAGAAAUAUAACCGGUCUCAAAACAUC
rnacentral:lncRNA from 1 species